GACAGAGGCCUCAAGCGUUAGGCGGAAUCACUGGGCUUAAAGCGUGUGUAGGCGGGUCGUUAAGGACCUUGUGAAAUCCCACGGCUCACCCGUGGAACGGCUGGGUAUACUGGCGAUCUUGGGCCAACUAGGGGCGACUGGAACAAGCGGUGGAGCGGUGAAAUGCGUAGAUAUCGCUUGGAACGCCGAAGGUGAGAACAGGUCGCUGGGGUUGUGCCGACGCUGAGACACGAAAGCCAGGGGAGCAAACGGG
rnacentral:rRNA from 1 species